GGUGUGUGCGGAACAACGCGUACUCAAAGGCCAAAACCGUGCUGGACGGGGGUUCGAUUCCCCCCACCUCCACCA
rnacentral:tRNA from 1 species